rnacentral:rRNA from 1 species
CCAAACUGUUGCCUCGGCGGGAUCUCUGCCCCGGGUGCGUCGCAGCCCCGGACCAAGGCGCCCGCCGGAGGACCAACCAAAACUCUUUUUGUAUACCCCCUCGCGGGUUUUUUUAUAAUCUGAGCCUUCUCGGCGCCUCUCGUAGGCGUUUCGAAAAUGAAUCAAAACUUUCAACAACGGAUCUCUUGGUUCUGGCAUCGAUGAAGAACGCAGCGAAAUGCGAUAAGUAAUGUGAAUUGCAGAAUUCAGUGAAUCAUCGAAUCUUUGAACGCACAUUGCGCCCGCCAGUAUUCUGGCGGGCAUGCCUGUCCGAGCGUCAUUUCAACCCUCGAACCCCUCCGGGGGGUCGGCGUUGGGGAUCGGCCCUGCCUCUUGGCGGUGGCCGUCUCCGAAAUACAGUGGCGGUCUCGCCGCAGCCUCUCCUGCGCAGUAGUUUGCACACUCGCAUCGGGAGCGCGGCGCGUCCACAGCCGUUAAACACCCAACUUCUGAAAUGUUGACCUCGGAUCAGGUAGGAAUACCCGCUGAACUUAAGCAUAUCAAAAGCCCGGAGGAA